UUGGAGGGCAAGUCUGGUGCCAGCAGCCGCGGUAAUUCCAGCUCCAAUAGCGUAUAUUAAAGUUGUUGCAGUUAAAAAGCUCGUAGUUGUAUUUCGGGAUCAGAGUGUCGGUCGUGCCUCGGUACGCACUGGUAUUAUCGGUUCCUACCUUCUGAAGAACCGCGAUGUCAUUAAUUUGGUGUCGUGGGGAAUCAGGACUGUUACUUUGAAAAAAUUAGAGUGUUUAAAGCAGGCUUACGCUUGAAUACAUUAGCAUGGAAUAAUGAAAUAGGACGUUUGAUUCUAUUUUGUUGGUUUCUAGGAUUGACGUAAUGAUUAAUAGGGAUAGUUGGGGGCAUUAGUAUUCAAUUGUCAGAGGUGAAAUUCUUGGAUUUAUUGAAGACUAACUACUGCGAAAGCAUUUGCCAAGGAUGUUUUCAUUAAUCAAGAACGAAAGUUAGGGGAUCGAAGACGAUCAGAUACCGUCGUAGUCUUAACCAUAAACUAUGCCGACUAGGGAUCGGAUGAUGUUAAUUUUUUAAUGACUCAUUCGGCGCCUUACGGGAAAC
rnacentral:rRNA from 1 species